UUUUCCCUUUUCCAUUUAUUUGUCCUCACACAACUGGUUUGUUUUCAGGGCUGUCUUAACUCUGUAAAGUUGCAGUAUUUUUCAUCACAUUUUUAAGCUCAAUGCUCAUAGUAGAAUACCUUUAUUAUUGAAAAGGACAAUAAAACCUACUUUCAUCUUGGUGGUUAGAGGAUAGAUUAUAAUCACUAGCCCACUUAUCACACCGUUGUAAUCCCCGUGGAUUAAAAUCUGAUGGCAAAAGAAAGUAAAUGCUGCAAGCUCUUCCUUCACUUUCCAGAAAGUUCUGCCUGUCACACUGACUAGUUUUUCACUGUUUCCAGAAUUCUACUUUUAGUCAUGGUAAUAUUUAAAUUAAGAGUCGGUCAGCACGUUUUCCUUCAGAAAACCAUAUGUUUCUAGGAACAGUACUAAGAUUCAUAGCACCCAGAAGUUUGGGGGUAUUUGUUCUACAACAGGUUAUUGACAUUCUUAGUACGUUAUUCUUUGAAGUAUGUAGAAAGAGGAAAAGACUUCUGGAGAAACCUGCUAUUUAAACAUCUAGCCGAAGUCCAGUCCUCAGUACCACAAGAAAAGAAAAAGAUCCCUGAGGUUAUAAGGUUGAAACUGUACUGUUUUCCUCUUUCCAGGAUGUUUUAUUCAGUCUGUCUCUGGUGAAGGACUUAGGAUCAUUUCUCUAACUAUAACAGACCAAGACUUUUAUGAAAUAGAACAAAAAUGAACUAUUAGUAUAAAGAUCAACAAUUUAGGAGCCCAAACUUUUUUACUAUUAGAUUCAACAGGCAUAAAGAUUACUCUGCCAAAUUGCCAUGGAAACUUCCGACUGCUUCUCUCCUUUUCUCUGUUGUCCUGGUGUGCAUUGCUACCUGCUGGUCUGCAGCCCGCACUGCAGGGUGCACUCCUAAAUGUGGCGCUUGACGAUGCUUCUGGAUUCCUGGUAAUGGGGGGUUAGUAGGUCCACCUCUGUGCCAUUGCAUUCUGACUCCUCUUAUUUGGGCUGUGAAGUCGACUGCUGACAUUGUGAUCUUGAGAAACUUUCUGACCCAUGAUUCCAACUUGGGAUUAUAACCUUCCUUGUUGAGUUAUUGGGAAGACUAGCUUAAAUAAUGUGCAAGAAGUGACUCACCACGUAUGUUUCCUAAUGGCUUUUCAUAGGUAAGUUUAGCUUUAAAAAGGUUGGCUCUGCAUCAUGAAUCUUACAAAGAAUCUCUGUUUUAGAAUUGACUUCCUUUGAUUUAAAACAUUGCAACUGAAUUUUCUUCCAGCAGGCUAUUUCAAUUUUACAUUAUGGAAAUACAAUUUUAGAAAAAUUAUGUCAGCAUUUUUGCUGCUAAAUAAUUUGAAUUUAUGUUUCUAAUAUACUUCUAAGUCAUCACUUUAUGGCAGUAUUAACAAUAAAUGGUGAAAUUCUGAA